rnacentral:rRNA from 1 species
UACGGGGGAGCAAGCGUUGGUUCGGAUUACUGGCGUAAAGGGCGCGGUAGGCGGCGUGACAAGUCACUUGUGAAAUCUCCGGGCUUAACUCGGAACGGUCAAGUGAUACUGUCGUGCUAGAGUACAGAAGGGCAACUGGAAUUCUCGGUGUAGCGGUGAAAUGCGUAGAUAUCGAGAGGAACACCUGCGGCGAAGGCGGGUGCUGGGCUGACACUGACGCUGAGGCGCGGAAAGCUAGGGGAGCGAACAGG